rnacentral:misc_RNA from 1 species
GCUCGACAACUGCAAGCCCUGCGGUGGUGCGAUUCCGCUGUGUAUGGUCGGCGAGUUCGAUCUCCCGUUGGACCUGAUUGACCGUCGUGUCACGAAGAUGAAGAUGAUCUCUCCAUCGAACGUCGCCGUUGACAUUGGCCGAACCUUAAAACCUCACGAGUACAUUGGGAUGGUUCGGCGAGAGGUUCUGGACGCGUAUCUUCGCAAUCGAGCCGCUGAGAAUGGGGCUAAUGUGAUUAAUGGCUUGGUGAUGAAAUUGGAACUUCCGAAGGAACAAA